AAGUUUUCUCGAACAAUGAAUGUAUUGUUUCACAGUCGGUAAACUUUUUGCUAAGGUAAAUUGCAUGCUCUUUUCGACAAGACUCGUUCGGCGAGCAGCCUAUGCCAAAGUACAUCAAGUUUUCUCGAACAAUGAAUGUAUUGUUUCACAGUCGGUAAACUUUUUGCUAAGGUAAAUUGCAUGCUCUUUUCGACAAGACUCGUCAUGCUGACC
rnacentral:lncRNA from 1 species